UACCCUUCUUCCCGCAGAAGAUCGUCGGCAAUGAUCAUUCUUGGGGAGCAUCGAUCAGACAGAAGAGGUUAAUACGCCGCCCGGAGAUCUCUAAAUCUUCCUAUCAGCCAGAAUGAGACACAAUAAGUUAUUCGUCUGGAUUUUAUUUGACAGCAGUAGCUGAUAUUUCAGUAUUUUUGUGACAGUGGAAAUUCCCCACCUUCCUUUGGAUAAUGCGCGGCCCUGACAGCCAUCUAUGAUAAUUAUUGCUUUCAGCAGAAUUGUGCUUACGCUCGGAUUCCACCCGCUUUCCGAGACAAGUUAAUUUGACUGUAAUGUGCAGACUUUGUUAGAGGUCAGGCCGUGUUACAGCCCAUUGGUCAUUACCAACAUCCAUUAAUUGGAGAGAGGAGUUUUCACCAGCUGAGAAAGAAAUGGGACAAACCAGGAUGGGUCUCCCCUCUCUCCAAGGGCCCCUUAGCAGCCACAUAGCCAUCCACUAUGAGGAGAGAAAGCAUUUAGCAAGUCUGAAGACAGCGCUGCUGACAAGAUGGAUCAUUGAGAGGUUUAUCUGGCACAUCUGCUAAGCAGAUUCACCGAGACCCCAGCAGAACGACCCACUUAUCCCAGACCCCUGUGGAGACCUUAACCCAUCACUGAACAA